rnacentral:rRNA from 1 species
AAAGAUUUAUCGCCCAAGGAUGAGCCCGCGUAGGAUUAGCUAGUUGGUGAGGUAAAGGCUCACCAAGGCGACGAUCCUUAGCUGGUCUGAGAGGAUGAUCAGCCACACUGGGACUGAGACACGGCCCAGACUCCUACGGGAGGCAGCAGUAGGGAAUAUUGGACAAUGGGCGAAAGCCUGAUCCAGCAAUGCCGCGUGAGUGAUGAAGGCCUUAGGGUUGUAAAGCUCUUUUACCCGGGAUGAUAAUGACAGUACCGGGAGAAUAAGCUCCGGCUAACUCCGUGCCAGCAGCCGCGGUAAUACGGAGGGAGCUAGCGUUGUUCGGAAUUACUGGGCGUAAAGCGCACGUAGGCGGCUAUUCAAGUCAGAGGUGAAA